AUUUAAAAACAUAGCCCGAACGUAACCAACAAACACAGAGCUCUUAUCACUCUUUCGUUGAAAGCCUGAAACUGAGAAAUCUCACAGAGCGCAUGGAGAUCUCAUAGAGCUCGACGAUCAUGGAGAUCUCAUAGAGCUUGACGAUCAUCGAUUAGGUACGAUCGCACAGCUCCGAUUAGGUACGAUCUCGGUUUUGUGACUCUUCCUCUCUCUUGGCAUUGUGUUUCUCAGCUCCGGUUAGGCCAUUCGGACGCUGAUCUCAAAGGGUGCUAGAUUUGUUUCCAAUCCUGUUCUUUCAACCUGCCUCUGCAUUUUCUUCCCAAACGUGAUUUUAAAUAUAGCAAAAAGCUCAGCUAUUGAGGCUAACAUUAUGUCAUACCUGCCUCUCCUUCAAAUUAGCUGUCGUGUCUAAUCGGAAGUAUUACUUUCAAGUUCCAAACUUUUCUUAGUCUUAGGUUUUAAGAGAAGCAAAUGGUGCAGCCCACUGCUUAGCAACUUGGUCUUUAUUGAAUAAGCUGGCUAGUUAUUUUGUUUUAGGCUCUGCUCCUCAUGUUUUCAGUAGUGGUAAUCAAAUGGAGCUUUCUGUAGAGUUGAAAGAAGAAGUAAAGCACCACAAAAGCAUGCUCGAACAACAAGCUAUUCAAAUGAUAGAACAAAGAAGACAUUUUGAGGAACAACAAGCUAGUCAAAUGGCAGCACAAAGAGCACAUUGUGACAAUAUGAUGAUGCAGAUGUUGAGUUGUAUCACCUCGCAAUCAGCCCAAUCUAGUAGUGAUCACUAAGCAACUUGCAAGCUAAUGAGCAACGUGACAUGCUCCAUUCCUGAGUUUACUUGUGUUUCAUCUGCAAAGGUGGCUUUGCUGUUAAUUUGGGUUGCUGAUAUAAGGAAACAUGUGAAGAAUUUAGAAUCUGGGAAGGGACACGUAUAUAAAGCUGUGCAUGUAACCGAUUUUUAUUUCCUUUCAUCACCUUUGGCCUUAUAUAGGAUGUAUUAGGAUUUGUUCUGUUCACUUACUACCAUGUCAGAUUGUGCAAAGAAUCUUGUUUUUACAAUUUAAAACUCUUGCCCAUGUUGACUAUUGAAUUAGAUCAUAUAAAUAUUGAUCGGGUUAAUCUGACUUUUGGUAUCAUAUAAAU